AGAGUUUGAUCCUGGCUCAGGACGAACGCUGGCGGCGUGCUUAACACAUGCAAGUCGAGCGGUAAGGCCCUUCGGGGUACACGAGCGGCGAACGGGUGAGUAACACGUGGGUAAACUGCCUGUACUCUGGGAUAAGCUUGGAAACGAGGUCUAAUACUGGAUACGACACUUGAAGGCAUCUUCGAGUGUGGAAAGUUCCGGGCGGUAUGGGAUGGACCCGCGGCCUAUCAGCUUGUUGGUGGGGUAAUGGCCUACCAAGGCGACGACGGGUAGCCGGCCUGAGAGGGUGACCGGCCACACUGGGACUGAGACACGGCCCAGACUCCUACGGGAGGCAGCAGUGGGGAAUAUUGCACAAUGGGCGAAAGCCUGAUGCAGCGACGCCGCGUGAGGGAUGACGGCCUUCGGGUUGUAAACCUCUUUCAGCAGGGACGAAGCGCAAGUGACGGUACCUGCAGAAGAAGCACCGGCUAACUACGUGCCAGCAGCCGCGGUAAUACGUAGGGUGCGAGCGUUGUCCGGAAUUAUUGGGCGUAAAGAGCUCGUAGGCGGUUUGUCGCGUCGGCCGUGAAAACUUGGGGCUUAACUCCAAGCUUGCGGUCGAUACGGGCAGACUUGAGUUCGGCAGGGGAGACUGGAAUUCCUGGUGUAGCGGUGAAAUGCGCAGAUAUCAGGAGAAACACCGGUGGCGAAGGCGGGUCUCUGGGCCGAUACUGACGCUGAGGAGCGAAAGCGUGGGGAGCGAACAGGAUUAGAUACCCUGGUAGUCCACGCCGUAAACGGUGGGUGCUAGGUGUGGGGGGCUUCCACGCCCUCUGUGCCGCAGCUAACGCAUUAAGCACCCCGCCUGGGGAGUACGGCCGCAAGGCUAAAACUCAAAGGAAUUGACGG
rnacentral:rRNA from 1 species